GUCUACGGCCAUGCUACCCUGACUGUGCCCAAUCUCGUCUGAUCUCAAAAGUCAAGCAGGGUUGAGUGUGGCUAGUACUUGAGUGGGAGACCACCUAGGAAGACCAGGUGCUGUAGGUG
rnacentral:rRNA from 1 species